UAGAAGCUAAACCUCGAUCCCAGCUAAUAGCCAGGCCAAAGGCUAUUAUCUCCAGGGCGCAGAGAGCCGCGGCUCCCGGGAGGGAGGCCGGGGCAGGUCUGCACCUGCACGAUGGGCUGAGGGGUGGGCACCGUGGGCCGGGAGAUGGGGGGCUCGGUGCUCUAGAGCCUGGUCAGCCUGCUCGCUCGGUGCUCAGGUUGCUGUGGGCGCAGGGAGCUCAGGCCCUCGCCCACCCUGGCCGCCCACAGCCCCUGCCCCUGCGUCCCUCUGCCUCCAGAGUUGCCCGGCCUCAGGGAGCUCAGCCCUUAGAAUGGCGCUGACCUUGCUCAGUGCCAGCCUUCUCUGGCCCCUCCUGGGGACCAGGAUCCUCCUCCACCUGGGCGUGUCCCCUGAGCAGGUUUCCUACGAGUCUGACUUCGUGUGAGUUACUGACGUCACCAGCAGCACCGCAUCCCGAAGCCCGAGGGUCCCCCGCCACUCCUGGUGUGGAUGGAACUGCGUCCCCCCGAAGAUAUGGUCAAGUCCUGACCA
rnacentral:lncRNA from 1 species